GGAAACCAGAGGGAGUUGGGGACAGGUGUAUGUGUGUGGGAUUGGAGAGGUUGUGGGCCCAUGAAGGGCCCCUUAGAGGACUUUGCUUAUCCUCUAAGGGUCAUGUUGUACCGCAGGGUCUUCCAGACCGAGAGGCACUCUCCACAUCUGGUUCCUUCGGUGUGAGGCCUGAAGCAUCAUCUCGUUCAAUUCUACCAGGUAAAAAUCAAGCACAAGAACAGAGGAAUUCAGAAGGAAAAGAUUUGUGACCAACUGGAAAAGUUCGAACAUGCACAUCUGAGCCCUGGCUUAGCGAUGGCCCCAGGACAUCAUUUCACUAAAAUCUUGUGUAUUGGACUGACUGUGAGUCAUGUAAGCCCAAAGCCACAGCCCAGAAAAGCUACCUAACCACAAGAAGUUGAAUUCAUACAAUCUCAGCCUGUUUGCGUGCUGUGCUCUGUGCCUCAGCUGCAUCUGACGACAUCUACACCCUGCUCUAUUAACCACAGCUCAGAGUUGCUUUCAAACCUGCUUGUUUUUCCUUUUUCAUGUUCUUUCUGCUUUUAGGGUGUUAUCUCCCUAAACAUGAUAUUGGAAAUCAC
rnacentral:lncRNA from 1 species